rnacentral:rRNA from 1 species
AACGAACGCUGGCGGCAGGCCUAACACAUGCAAGUCGAACGAGACCAUCGGGUCUGGUGGCGCACGGGGGCGUAACGCGGGGGAAGCGGCCCUUAGGCUCGGAAUAACUCCCCGAAAGGGGUGCUAAUACCGGAUAAUGUCUGCUGAUCAAAGAUUUAUCGCCUUUGGAUGGGCCCGCGUUGGUUGAGCUAGUUGGUAGGGUAAAAGCCUACCAAGGCGACGAUCCAUAGCUGGUCUGAGAGGAUGAUCCGCCACACUGGGACUGGGACACGGCCCAGACUCCUACGGGAGGCAGCAGUGGGGGAUAUUGGACUAUGGGCGAAAGCCUGAUCCAGCACUGCCGCGUGAGUGAUGAAGGCCUUAGGGUUGUACAGCUCUUUUACCCGGGAUGAUAAUGACAGUACCGGGAGAAUAAGCUCCGGCUAACUCCGUG